rnacentral:rRNA from 1 species
UCGACGAGCGAGAGAGAGCUUGCUUUCUCGAGCGAGUGGCGAACGGGUGAGUAACGCGUGAGGAACCUGCCUCAAAGAGGGGGACAACAGUUGGAAACGACUGCUAAUACCGCAUAAGCCCACGACCCGGCAUCGGGUAGAGGGAAAAGGAGCAAUCCGCUUUGAGAUGGCCUCGCGUCCGAUUAGCUAGUUGGUGAGGUAACGGCCCACCAAGGCGACGAUCGGUAGCCGGACUGAGAGGUUGAACGGCCACAUUGGGACUGAGACACGGCCCAGACUCCUACGGGAGGCAGCAGUGGGGAAUAUUGCACAAUGGGGGAAACCCUGAUGCAGCGACGCCGCGUGGAGGAAGAAGGUCUUCGGAUUGUAAACUCCUGUUGUUGAGGAAGAUAAUGACGGUACUCAACAAGGAAGUGACGGCUAACUACGUGCCAGCAGCCGCGGUAAAACGUAGGUCACAAGCGUUGUCCGGAAUUACUGGGUGUAAAGGGAGCGCAGGCGGGAAGACAAGUUGGAAGUGAAAUCCAUGGGCUCAACCCAUGAACUGCUUUCAAAACUGUUUUUCUUGAGUAGUGCAGAGGUAGGCGGAAUUCCCGGUGUAGCGGUGGAAUGCGUAGAUAUCGGGAGGAACACCAGUGGCGAAGGCGGCCUACUGGGCACCAACUGACGCUGAGGCUCGAAAGUGUGGGUAGCAAACAGGAUUAGAUACCCUGGUAGUCCACACCGUAAACGAUGAUUACUAGGUGUUGGAGGAUUGACCCCUUCAGUGCCGCAGUUAACACAAUAAGUAAUCCACCUGGGGAGUA